GACGAACGCUGGCGGCGUGCCUAAUACAUGCAAGUCGAACGCAUUUUCUUUCACCGUAGCUUGCUACACCGACAGAAAAUGAGUGGCGAACGGGUGAGUAACACGUGGGUAACCUGCCCAUCAGCGGGGGAUAACACUUGGAAACAGGUGCUAAUACCGCAUAAUUCCAUUUACUGCAUGGUAGAUGGAUGAAAGGCGCUUUUGCGUCACUGAUGGAUGGACCCGCGGUGCAUUAGCUAGUGGGUGGGGUAACGGCCUACCAAGGCUGCGAUGCAUAGCCGACCUGGGAGGGUGAUCGGCCACACUGGGACUGGGACACGGCCCAGACUCCUACGGGAGGCAGCAGUAGGGAAUCUUCGGCGAUGGACGCAAGUCUGACCGAGCAACGCCGCGUGAGUGAAGAAGGUUUUCGGAUCGUAAAACUCUGUUGUUAGAAAAGAACAAGGAUGAGAGUGGAAAGUUCAUCCCUUGACGGUAUCUAACCAGAAAGCCACGGCUAACUACGUG
rnacentral:rRNA from 1 species